UUUCAUUUAAAACUAUCGUCUAUCGUCUCCUCUGUUCUUCCUUGGAAACUAAGGAUGAAUCUUUCGGAAAGUUUUAGGGUUCUAAAGAAAUGAAAACACAGUUGUUUGGAGGUUGAAGAAAAUGUCGAGGCGGAGAUGAGGUGAAACUAUUCAAGGCAUGGGAAGCAGAGGCGGUGAGGAGGUGCAGACGACAACGUCGGAGAAGGAGGAGAUGGUGGUAGGGGGCGCACGACAAAGGAGUGAGGGGGUGUGGAGGAGAUAAUCGCACCACCAUAGGAUUCCUCACUCAGAUCCUUGCUCUUUCGACAAAAGGAUUUUGUAUAAUUGAUUUUGGUGUGAGAUGCAAGUUGUGUCUUGCUUUUCGUAUAACUUAUCGUAGAAAAAACAAAGCUUCGGGUCAAAGAAAA